rnacentral:rRNA from 1 species
CAGCGCCACAAGUGGCAAUCACGUUUAUUGGGCCUAAAGCGUCCGUAGCCGGUUUAGCAAAUCUUUUGUGAAAUCGUCAGGCUUAACUUGACGAAUUGCAGAAGACACUACUAAACUAGGGACUGGGAGGAGUCAGAAGUAUUCUGGGGGGACCGGUAAAAUGGUAUAAUCCCCAGAGGACUACCGAUGGCGAAGGCAUCUAACCAGAACAGAUCCGACGGUGAGGGACGAAAGCCAGGGGAGCAAACCGGAUUAGAUACCCGAGUAGUCC